rnacentral:rRNA from 1 species
CUCGGCAACGGAUAUCUCGGCUCUCGCAUCGAUGAAGAACGUAGCGAAAUGCGAUACUUGGUGUGAAUUGCAGAAUCCCGUGAACCAUCGAGUCUUUGAACGCAAGUUGCGCCCGAAGCCAUUAGGUCGAGGGCACGCCUGCCUGGGCGUCACGCAUCG